GCGAUUGACUCAUUUACAAAAAAAAAUGAGUCAAGAAUAAAGCCGUGCGCGCAUGCGCUACUUGCACGCUAUGACGUCAACCAUCGCGCGAACAUUCCCGUUUGACGUCGCCAUUGCUGAAUUGGAUCAAGAGAAUACUGGCUACUGGAAGAAGUCACUACGCAACAGAUUCAGGAAUUGCAGGAAAUGUCAUGAACGUGAUAAUCCAUUAGGACAAAUGGAAGCAAAGAAAGGGGACUACACCCAAACCAGACAAAGCUGCAGGCAAACACAUGUAUGGCAUAAAGAAAGUACCUUCCUGCAUCCCCAGAAAGUGAGGAUGAAGAAACGAUCAAUGCUCACAUCAAGAUGCUUCAGAAUGAAUCCAGAAAAACAAGACAGGACAGCUUGAUGAUAGACAAUCUACUAACUUAUGCCCAUAGGCGCAAGGGUAUCAUCAACAGCAACUGGACUGAAUCCUACUUGAAGGAUAUGUACCCUUACCUUUUCCAUGAAGAUGAGAGUUUGAGAGACUGUCAGAGGACCCAACUAAGCAGAAGUUGGAAGCAGGACAUUUGAAUAUGCUGAUCCAUUACUAGAGAUAUGCAAGACUCCCAAGCAAGGUUUGGAGCUCAAAAACCUGAUCUUGGCUGCAGCAGCAGAAAAUGAAGACACCAGGAAAAUGAUCAAAUCAUGUGGAGCACUUCUGUUGAUUCCUACUAUUUUUGGAGAGAAGGCAUUGCUUUGUCAGCAUAGCCAGGAUAAAAAACGGACCAAUCGCCAAAAUCAUCUACAAAAGUAAGCCCGACAGUGCAGGUCUGACUCUGAGCAGUGAUCAUGAAAAAUUCACGGAAAUUCUGCAAUCAUCCUAUAUUACAGCAGAGAAUGAAGUCAUCUGCGAGAAAACCACCUACCUCAUGUCAGCAGUCUCUCUGCUUAUGUCAGCCCAUUAUGUAUUCAACUGAUCAUACACCCCCAAGAUGGGUAACACCCUCACAUUCAUUCAGAAGAUUCUGAUGAACAUAGAUUCCACAUCUCAACCCUCAUCCAAGGUCGUAAGAAGCCUGUAUGACUUAAAUGCUGUCCGAAAUGCUGAUGCCAGUAGUUCUUCAGUUUAAUAGAAAUUAAUUAAUUGGGUGAUGCUACUGCAACUCAGCUGAUCACACUUUCUCUACGUGCAAUCACCUUAGGUGUUGUAUCUGUCUUUUAUGUGCAAAAUAGAUUGAAAUAGAUACGACAGGUUGACCGUGAAUUUAGACAUCAAGUAUGUGCAUUAUUUCGCUUUGCUUCAGUACAAUUUCAGUGGCCCUUGAAUUGGAAAUCUUUUCAUAUCCCAAGAAUUACGUAUAAAUGCUUAAUGAAAUUUUUGUCACAGAUAAAAUAGGAUUUUGCACACACAAAAAAGAAAAGAUAUUUGGACCCAAAAUUUUUACAGAUCAGAUGGUCAACAAUUUUUUUUUUUUUGGGGGGGGGGAAUUGAAGACUAAGCUAUUAAUAUUCUACUUUUUGAUUUUUGUACACAUUUUGUUACUGUACAUGUAAAUAAGUUUAACACCACAAAUUUGAAGAAUUACAACAUUUUAAAGGUUCUCUAUGGAAUUUUAGUUAGUUUGUAAGUUUCAAGCAACUUAGUAUUUAAUUCCAAGAAUUAUACAAAGGCACUUUUCAAGAUUAUGGCUUCCAACAUCAGUACAUGAUGGAAACAAUUCUCAAUGUUUACAUUUAUUGAGAUGGUAAGCACAUGCAACUGAUUUGAAACUAAUUUUAUAAAUUUGACAAAGCACUGCCAUUAAUUUUAAGCCAAUCUGCACACUUCCAAGCAUGUCAAAGGUAUUGCUUAAUAGCCCAAUCACCACAAUUAUCAUUGCCUUUAAAAAAAAAUUGCACAAAUAUAUUUAAAUAGAAAAGGUCAGUAUCUGCUUGAAGAUACAGCUGCUAUAGGAGGCAGAUUUUGCGGAAAAUACCAGGGCUUCACAGUGAGAGAAAUGGUAUUAAGAAUGGGGGAUUCUGCGAAGUGCUUUAAAAAUUAAUUGAGAAUCCAAAUUGCACAUUUUGAAAUUGUCUUUUGUACUAUUAGUAGUAAAAUAUUUUUGUGGGUUUUCCUACAGCAAAAAUUGACAUUUGGGGAAUUCCCGUGUCAUGCAUGGGGAUUCUUAAAUUUAAAUUGUGUUUGUACGUAUGCUUAAGUUUGAAAAAUUGACGUUUUGUGACAGCUUUAUCUUUGUUUAGUCGGUUAAACCAUGUUGCCAAUCAGUUAUAAAAUCUAUCACUCUCUCUUGAUAGUUUUAUUUUUUAUUUGAUGAGAGGUAGCAGUGCACUUAUUUACAUGUUUGGUGACUGGAUUCUAUGCUUGAGAAUAGAUUUUAUUAUAGAAAGAAAUGCACAGCAACCAUAAUUAUUUUUCAAGUAAACUCUUAAACAUUUAUCCCAUGAAACACAUUUCUGUCUGUUGUGGUUACAUCACGGAUGCAUAAUGGUCACUUUUGUUUUGGUAAUAUUGAUGGUGACUCCGGAGAUUUAUUGUUGAGAGGAAAUAAAUCAGAUGGCAUGUACAAUGCA
rnacentral:lncRNA from 1 species